UGCUUACCCAAGGCCUUCCAUAGAUCUCGGAGCUCACAGGGAAAACCACCCUCACCCACCCUGCAGGAGGAGCACAAUGGCACCCUCUGUUGCCCUGCGCGCUGCUCCCACGUGGAUGUAUGAACUCCUGAAAGUAUCCAUUCCCCAUCUCCAAAUCUCAUCUCUUCCCGCCGAGCUUCCUUGUUUGUUUGGAGUUAUCCUGUUAUUUCCAUUUGUAAUAAAACCCGUCUUGUUCUUUUUGUGCUGAGUGGAGAAACAUCGAGAGGAUUGUCACGCUCAUUUCAUGAACAGUUGGCCUCCUGUCCCCAUUUUGUCCUCCCUAAGUGGCAGCUCCUUGCAACAGUUGUAUUAACAACUGAGCUCAGCCCUGCAAAGUGGUGGGCAUUUCCAGCGUUAACUGGAAAGCAAUUAGUCUUGAUGAGAUUGGGCUGUCCAACUCUCAGACAAUUAAUUAAAUUACAGCUUGUCUUUCAUUUGGUUAAACAAAAACUUGAUUCAUUAAUUAAAAUACACUGUGAAUCUGAUUUUUUGCUCUGAUCCUCUGUGUGUUCGUAAGCAAACAACAAGUUCCUUUUAGGAACCAAAACAAAAUUCCUUCUGGAGCAUGACAAGUUUUCACUCCUAAUCACCUUGUAUCCAUGUGAACACACUUUAAUUGCUCAUUAACACAAAGUUAGCGGGCUGACACACAACUAGCUGCUUCUUUUGGACUUCUCUAACAGUAACUUUUUUGUGUGUGUCUCGUAAGGAGACCAGACGUUUCUCAGAAUCAAUCAACUUUUUCUGUGUUUUACUUCCAUGCCAUGCUGUAAAGGAUUGUACAGUUGCCUUGCUGUAAUGUUAUUAUUCAGGACUGAUUUUACUGUGAUGGCAUAAGAGGAAUUAGACAUGUCCAUUCUAUUGUUGUUGAUAUGACUGUGCCUAUUUUCCCCAUAUGCAGUCUGAAACAAUUAUCAGAAGCAGUACAUAGAACUCAUCACUUAGAAAUGAUUACUUAGAAGUCAUUAGAUGUUGUUAAUGUGAACAGAUUUUUGUAAAAGCCACGUUUUGUGCAGGACUGGUUAUUUUUAGAUAAAAAUAUUUAAACUGAAGAAGAGAUUUCAAUUUUUCAAAUUGUGAUGUACAGGAACUCAGUGAGAAUUAAAAAUCUGACAUAAGAUCCAGUAUAAAAAAAGUAUUUCAGUGCAUCUAUUUGACAAGCACAAAUGGUCUGUAAGUAUGUUGAAUUAUAACAAAAAAUGAGUUGGAAAUAUUUGGGAUACUCUGUCUGUUCAGUUUUAAGCAGCCUUACCUACUGUGCCAAUGACUUACAGUCAGGUUUGGAUUCUGUGUGCUCAUCAUCAGCUUUCAGGAUCCAUGCUACAUUUGCCUCCUUUGAUUCUGCAAAGAUUUUGUCAAGAAAUUGAACUGAAUUUUAUCCCAGGCCUCACAAAUACAACCAUGUUUGACAGUUGUGGGAAAGAAGGGGGUUCGAGCUGCAUCUAUUGUUUGUUCAGAAAUAUCUAAUUUCAUAAGUCAAAUUACUCGUAAUGAUUCCAUACUAAUUUGUUAUUUGAAUCCUUUGCAGGCCUACUUUCUCCCAGAUGAUGGGAGACAAGAGGAAUUGCCUAAGCUUUUGAUACUGUGUAGAUCUCUGCUGAAACACAUUCUGAUUGCUACUGAUCUAGACAUAUUUUUUUUCUUAUAAGCUUAAGCCCGCAAGCUUCAGAAUUUAGCAUAAAAGACCAGCUG
rnacentral:lncRNA from 1 species